GCCGAUGUGGCUCAGGUGGUAGAGCAAUUGAUUCGUAAUCAAUAGGUCGGGAGUUCGAGUCUCCCCAUCGGCA
rnacentral:tRNA from 1 species